GACGAACGCUGGCGGCGUGCCUAACACAUGCAAGUCGAACGGAGAAUUAGCAAUAAUUCUUAGUGGCGAACGGGUGAGUAACGCGUAGACAACCUACCCUUUAGAUGGGGACAACACCGCGAAAGUGGUGCUAAUACCGAAUAUUGCUUGAGAAGCGCAUGCUUUUCAAACUAAAGAUGGCCUCUAUUUAUAAGCUAUCGCUAAAGAAUGGGUCUGCGUCUGAUUAGCUAGUUGGUGAGAUAAAAGCUCACCAAGGCAACGAUCAGUAGCCGGUCUGGGAGGAUGAACGGCCACACUGGGACUGAGACACGGCCCAGACUCCUACGGGAGGCAGCAGUGGGGAAUCUUCCGCAAUGGACGAAAGUCUGACGGAGCAACGCCGCGUGAGUGAUGAAGGCUUUCGGAUCGUAAAACUCUGUUGUUAAGGACGAAUGUAUAGAUUGUGAAUAAUGGUUUAUAAUGACGGUACUGUAAGAAUAAGCACCGGCUAACUACGUGCCAGCCGCCGCAGUAA
rnacentral:rRNA from 1 species